AUGUAUUUCAAUAACGUUGAGCGUAAUGGAUUACGAUCCCACUGCUGCCUGAUUGAUUCGUUUCCCCGCUUUAUGAACGACACAGAUCCGGCCACCGCCGCUCGUCCUGACUGGGAAAACCAUUUUAAUGACAGUCUGCGGCUUCGCUUCGCCGUUCAGCGCGCGAGCCUUCUGUCGGUCGCGUGCGGCCCUACGGCGGCUGCGUCGACGCCGAUCCCCGCGGGACCCUCACGGACGUGGAGGGCCGUUUUUGUCUCGAGCGCGUCGAUAUCAAGUGGCACGCGCCUCGUCGUCACGGCCCGCAGCUGUGGCGAGAAGAGAUGCGGACGACCGCGGGGGCUCGCGUUUUACAUUCCGCCCGCUCGCCGCGGGAAAUUAGACAUUCAUCAAACGCGUAGGAAGCGUAAUUAUAACUUAAAGACACAAGGUUACAGUGGGUUCCUAGAAAAUAAUCCGCCAGCCGUCACUGCCCACGCUGACACCAGCAGACUGUGCUGUGGCUCAUUGCCAGUCGUGUUCCUGCGGUGGGUCCGUGGGGGUCCCGGCGCCAUAUUGAGAUCCGUUCGGGACCGGAAAAAGCCGAGCCACUUGCCGUAUUUGUAUUCAGGGGCCAGAGUCAGAGUCUGCAGGGUCCGCCUUCGUGUGGCCGCUGCGUCGGCAGCGUUGGAGGACGACCAGACGCGGGGAAUCACAAGUGGAAGCGAGGCCACCGCCAAGUUCUAUGUUGCUGCUCAUUGGCUGGACUCACCUGUCCUACACUACACCAGUAGGCCUGUCAACAGGAAGGCGUCCCUCCUUCAGAUCAGCCAUGUAGAACAGAGCUGGGGGAGGCACAGGAACAGUGGCUGAUGGAUGGGAGGCAUUAGACGCCCGGCAGGCACUGAACUCUAAUAUAAUGCAGUCAUAUGGCUAGUUUUUUUUCCUGUGUGUACUUCAUUACAUUUCUCUUCGGUGGAAUAUGUUUCUGUUUUAAUAAUUUAUUGUUCCCUUUCUAGCAGGUUUCUCCCAAAAAUCAAUCGGAGGCUGUCUUCCCAGAGAUAAGCAUGCCUUAUUAAUGUUAGAUCUUUAUCGUGCCUGGAGGACCACCAGUGCUGCUGCUGAGUCUGCUGAUAAUUGACAUUUUCGCCAGAUGAGGGUAUUUAUCAUCCUAUCAUUGUCCGUGGGAGGUCCUGCGACUGACCAUACCCAUACACCAUUCUCCUAUUAGUGCUGUGUCCAAUGUGCCGUGUAGUAGGAGCGAGAGCAAAAAGUUUGUUUGUUAAAGGGGAGAAGGAGAAUUUCCAUUGUGGGCAGAAUAAUACGUACUGGAUGUGAGAGCCAGGAAAGGUGAUUUGCACAGAGUGACCUUUUAAAUCUCAUUCUUCUUUGAAUGACUGGGGAGGUGACACUCACAGUAAGUACACAUGGAGCGGUGCAACUGGUACCGCUGCUCCAGAGGCUGAAUGCUGGACAGUGGAAGUGUGCAGACCAGAGGAGCAGUGACUCAACGGCGUCACUGCCCCCUUUAGAUUUUACAUUUACACAUGUGUGGGGCUGAACCGCUUCAUUCUGUGCAUAUGCAGUGGAAGUGGUUCAUUUUAAGCAACUGUUAUAACAUUGUCAGUGUUCAGAGGGGAAAAGACUUAAAAACGCAGCUAUCUGGGACAAAUUGGUUUUAUUAUUAUGCAGUUGUGUUGCUAUUGUCAGUACACUAGUGGAGUCCAAGCAGGACUGGGACAAAGUGCAGCGUCUCGGGGGAGAAACACUCUGUUGUUGCUAAUCGACUUUGCGACAUAUGUCGGCCCAGUCAUUAAUUUUACACUGUUUGGCUGCCAUUGUCAGAGGCACAUGAUAUUAGUUUCCACGCAGCCAAAUGAAAAGCUAAGGAGUAAGAUGUGAUGUAUUGCUGAAAUAAAUCUUUUUGGAGAAUGCA
ensembl:lncRNA uncharacterized LOC114854808